AACGAACGCUGGCGGCAUGCCUAACACAUGCAAGUCGAACGAGACCUUCGGGUCUAGUGGCGCACGGGUGCGUAACGCGUGGGAAUCUGCCCUUCGGUUCGGAACAACAGUUAGAAAUGACUGCUAAUACCGGAUAAUGACGUAAGUCCAAAGAUUUAUCGCCGAAGGAUGAGCCCGCGUAAGAUUAGGUAGUUGGUGGGGUAAUGGCCUACCAAGCCGACGAUCUUUAGCUGGUCUGAGAGGAUGAUCAGCCACACUGGGACUGAGACACGGCCCAGACUCCUACGGGAGGCAGCAGUGGGGAAUAUUGGACAAUGGGCGAAAGCCUGAUCCAGCAAUGCCGCGUGAGUGAUGAAGGCCUUAGGGUUGUAAAGCUCUUUUACCUAGGGAUGAUAAAUGACAGUACCUGGAGAAUAAAGCUCCGGCUAACUCCGUG
rnacentral:rRNA from 1 species